UACGUAGGAUGCAAGCGUUGUCCGGAUUUACUGGGCGUAAAGCGCGCGCAGGCGGCAGUACAAGUACCCUCUGAAAUCUCCUUGCUCAGCGAGGAGGGUGGAGGGUAGACUGUGCAGCUAGAGGAGGGUAGAGGGGGGUAGAAUUGCUGGUGUAGCGGUGAAAUGCGCAGAUAUCAGGAGGAACACCGGUGGCGAAGGCGGGUCUCUGGGCCGAUACUGACGCUGAGGAGCGAAAGCGUGGGGAGCGAACAGG
rnacentral:rRNA from 1 species